rnacentral:lncRNA from 1 species
CACGCCUGGAUCUUCAGAGGUGGUGAUGAACAAGUGCCUGGAUGCUUGUAAAGAUCUGCAUGAGCAGAGGUGAUCCACUGUUGCCACUGCUGAAAUGCAUCUCUCACCACCUCAGCGUUCUCACAUCUACUGUUUGAUCUUCAUAAAUGUUCGGCAAGUGUUGAAUAUCAAUGGGUGCUAUUUUUCUACAUGGAGAAAUUCAGUGAUGCUCCUUUGCUUCAUAUGCACUUCUGUAUCAG